GCAGCAAAUCCUCACAACCAGUCUGUGGCACUGAUGGGAAAACAUACAAAAAUGAAUGUGACUUGUGUUCAGCUGCCAUGAGAGCUUCAAACUACAUCACGGUAAACUAUCGAGGUGAAUGCCGAAAGCCUGCACUUGAAGUGAAAUAAUGGAGUUCAGACUGCCAGCAAACACCAGGGAUCUGCUGUGACCAAAG